rnacentral:tRNA from 1 species
GCCGUGGUGGUGGAAUUGGUAGACACGCUAUCUUGAGGGGGUAGUACUCUAGGGUGUGCGGGUUCGAGUCCCGCCCACGGCACCA